rnacentral:tRNA from 1 species
UAACAUGUGGUAUAGUGGUUUGACUGCUGGACUGUGACUCUGGAGGCCAGGGUUCGAAUCCCAGCUCAG